rfam:TPA: Bos taurus chromosome 1, whole genome shotgun sequence.
UCCCUGGUGGCUUAGAUAGUAAAGAACCUGCCUGGGGUGCAGGAGACCCAGGUUUGAUCCCUGGGUAAGGAA